rfam:Culex pipiens quinquefasciatus supercont3.2047 genomic scaffold, whole genome shotgun sequence.
GUGGCUGACUAGUUACGGUGUUCGCUUUGUAAGCGAAUGGUCCUGGGUUCGAUUCCCAUC